GAGUGGAAACAAAAUCACUUCUGUAGAAAAUGGAUCUCUGGAUGGUUUAUCUUCCAUAAAAAAGUUAGUUCUGAAAGGAAACAAAAUCACUUCUGUACAAAAUGGAUCUCUGGAUGGAUUAUCUUCCUUAGAAACGUUAGAUCUGAGUGGAAACAAAAUCACUUCUGUAGAAAAUGGAUCUCUGGAUAGAUUGUCUUCCUUACUAACGUUAGUUCUGAGUGGAAACAAAAUCACUUCUGUAGAAAAUGGAUCUCUGGAUGGAUUAUCUUCCUUAAA